rnacentral:rRNA from 1 species
UACGUAGGGUGCGAGCGUUAAUCGGAAUUACUGGGCGUAAAGCGUGCGCAGGCGGUUAGCCGUGUCCGAUGUGAAAGCCCCCGGGCUCAACCUGGGAAUGGCAUUGGAAACUGGCUGGCUGGAGUGUGGCAGAGGGGGGGUGGAAUUCCACGUGUAGCAGUGAAAUGCGUAGAGAUGUGGAGGAACACCGAUGGCGAAGGCAGCCCCCCUGGGCCAACACUGACGCUCAGGCACGAAAAGCGUGGGGGAGCAAACAGGAUUAGAAA